AGAGUUUGAUCCUGGCUCAGGAUGAACGCUGGCGGCGUGCCUAACACAUGCAAGUCGAACGUGAGAGGGUAGCAAUAUCCUUGAAAGUGGCGAACGGGUGAGUAACACGUAGAUAACCUGCCUCGAAGCGGGGGAUAACGACUGGAAACGGUCGCUAACACCGCAUGGGACCGGGACGACGGGAGUCGACCUGGUUAAAACUCUGGUGCUUCGAGAGGGGUCUGCGGCCGAUUAGCUAGUUGGCGGGGUAAGAGCCCACCAAGGCGACGAUCGGUAGCUGGUCUGAGAGGACGAUCAGCCACACGGGAACUGAGAAACGGUCCCGACUCCUACGGGGGGCAGCAGUGAGGAAUAUUGGGCAAUGGGCGCAAGCCUGACCCAGCAACGCCGCGUGGAGGAAUGAAGGCCUUCGGGUUGUAAACUCCUUUUACGGGGGAAGAGGAAGGACGGUACCCCGAGAAUAAGUCACGGCUAACUACGUGCCAGCAGCCGCGGUAAUACGUAGGUGACAAGCGUUAUCCGGAAUUACUGGGCGUAAAGCGCACGCAGGCGGCUUGCUAAGUCUGACGUGAAAUCUCUCGGCUUAACCGGGAGGGGUCGUUGGAGACUGGCGAGCUUGAGGCGAUGAGAGGGGUGCAGAAUUCCCGGUGUAGUGGUGGAAUGCGUAGAUAUCGGGAGGAAUACCAGUGGCGAAAGCGGCACCCUGGCAUUAGCCUGACGCUCAGGUGCGAAAGCGUGGGGAGCGAACGGGAUUAGAUACCCCGGUAGUCCAC
rnacentral:rRNA from 1 species